rnacentral:rRNA from 1 species
UACGGGGGGUGCAAGCGUUAUUCGGAUUUAUUGGGCGUAAAGAGCGCGUAGGCGGUUUAUCAAGUCAGAUGUGAAAGCCCUGGGCUCAACCUGGGAAGUGCAUUUGAAACUAGUAGACUUGAGUAUGGGAGAGGGGAGUGGAAUUCCUGGUGUAGAGGUGAAAUUCGUAGAUAUCAGGAGGAACACCGGUGGCGAAGGCGACUUCCUGGACCAAUACUGACGCUGAGGCGCGAAGGCGUGGGGAGCAAACAGGAUUAGAUACCCUGGUAGUCCACGCAGUAAACGGUGAUCACUAGGUGUAGCGGGUAUUGACCCCUGCUGUGCCGCAGUUAACGCAUUAAGUGAUCCGCCUGGGGAGUACGAUCGCAAGGUUAAA